GACGAACGCUGGCGGCGUGCUUAACACAUGCAAGUCGAACGGAAAGGCCCUGCUUUUGUGGGGUGCUCGAGUGGCGAACGGGUGAGUAACACGUGAGUAACCUGCCCUUGACUUUGGGAUAACUUCAGGAAACUGGGGCUAAUACCGGAUAGGAGCUCCUGCUGCAUGGUGGGGGUUGGAAAGUUUCGGCGGUUGGGGAUGGACUCGCGGCUUAUCAGCUUGUUGGUGGGGUAGUGGCUUACCAAGGCUUUGACGGGUAGCCGGCCUGCGAGGGUGACCGGCCACAUUGGGACUGAGAUACGGCCCAGACUCCUACGGGAGGCAGCGGUGGGGAAUAUUGCACAAUGGGCGGAAGCCUGAUGCAGCAACGCCGCGUGCGGGGUGACGGCCUUCGGGUUGUAAACCGCUUUCGCCUGUGACGAAGCGUGAGUGACGGUAAUGGGUAAAGAAGCACCGGCUAACUACGUG
rnacentral:rRNA from 1 species